rnacentral:rRNA from 1 species
AUUGAACGCUGGCGGCAGGCCUAACACAUGCAAGUCGAGCGGAGCGGCGGACGGGUGAGUCAUGUCUGUGAACCUGCCUGUUAGUGGGGGAUAACGUCCGGGGACGGGCGCUAAUCCCGCAUCCUAUCAGAUCAGCCUAGGUCGGACUAGCUAGUGGGGGGGGUAAAGGCCUACCAAGGCGACGAUCCGUAACUGGUCUGAGAGGAUGAUCAGUCACACUGGAACUGAGACACGGUCCAGACUCCUACGGGAGGCAGCAGUGGGGAAUAUUGGACAAUGGGCGAAAGCCUGAUCCAGCCAUGCCGCGUGUGUGAAGAAGGUCUUCGGAUUGUAAAGCACUUUAAGUUGGGAGGCGUUACCAACAGAAUAAGCACCGGCUAACUCCGUGCCAGCAGCCGCGGUAAUUC